rnacentral:ncRNA from 1 species
UCCGAUAAAGGCAAACUCCGAGAAAUCGGAGGACGCAAAGCCACGGGCCCUACUCAAAGUUGUACAAUUAAGAGAGAGGGUAGCCGGGUUACCGAAG